GAUGAACGCUGGCGGCGUGCUUAACACAUGCAAGUCGAACGGUGAAGGCGGAGCUUGCUCUGCUGGAUCAGUGGCGAACGGGUGAGUAACACGUGGGCAAUCCGCCCCUGACUCUGGGAUAAGCGCUGGAAACGGCGUCUAAUACUGGAUACGAGCUGCGAAGGCAUCUUCAGCAGCUGGAAAGAAUUUCGGUCAGGGAUGAGCUCGCGGCCUAUCAGCUUGUUGGUGAGGUAAUGGCUCACCAAGGCGUCGACGGGUAGCCGGCCUGAGAGGGUGACCGGCCACACUGGGACUGAGACACGGCCCAGACUCCUACGGGAGGCAGCAGUGGGGAAUAUUGCACAAUGGGCGAAAGCCUGAUGCAGCAACGCCGCGUGAGGGACGACGGCCUUCGGGUUGUAAACCUCUUUUAGCAGGGAAGAAGCGAAAGUGACGGUACCUGCAGAAAAAGCGCCGGCUAACUACGUG
rnacentral:rRNA from 1 species